AGUGAACGCUGGCGGUAGGCCUAACACAUGCAAGUCGAACGGCAGCACAGUAAGAGCUUGCUCUUACGGGUGGCGAGUGGCGGACGGGUGAGGAAUACAUCGGAAUCUACUUUUUCGUGGGGGAUAACGUAGGGAAACUUACGCUAAUACCGCAUACGACCUACGGGUGAAAGCAGGGGAUCUUCGGACCUUGCGCGAUUGAAUGAGCCGAUGUCGGAUUAGCUAGUUGGCGGGGUAAAGGCCCACCAAGGCGACGAUCCGUAGCUGGUCUGAGAGGAUGAUCAGCCACACUGGAACUGAGACACGGUCCAGACUCCUACGCGAGGCAGCAGUGGGGAAUAUUGGACAAUGGGCGCAAGCCUGAUCCAGCCAUACCGCGUGGGUGAAGAAGGCCUUCGGGUUGUAAAGCCCUUUUGUUGGGAAAGAAAAGCAGCAGGUUAAUACCCCGCUGUUCUGACGGUACCCAAAGAAUAAGCACCGGCUAACUUCGUG
rnacentral:rRNA from 1 species